GGAGAGAUGGCCGAGUGGCUGAAGGCGCUCCCCUGCUAAGGGAGUAUGGGUUUUAAAGCCCAUCGAGGGUUCGAAUCCCUCUCUCUCCGCCA
rnacentral:tRNA from 2 species